rnacentral:rRNA from 1 species
UACGGGGGGGGCAAGCGUUGUUCGGCAUUCCUGGGCGUAAAGGGCUCGUAGGCGGCCAACUAAGUCGGACGUGAAAUCCCCAGGCUCAACCUGGGAACUGCGUCCGAUACUGGAUGGCUUGAAUUCGGGAGAGGGAUGCAGAAUUCCAGGUGUAGCGGUGAAAUGCGUAGAUAUCUGGAGGAAUACCGGUGGCGAAGGCGGCAUCCUGGACCGACAUUGACGCUGAGGAGCGAAAGCCAGGGGAGCAAACGGG